AUGAGUUUCUACCAUGUCAUUUUUUCCUCUUCCACGAGUUCCUCUUCAUCUUUAGCUUCAACAAAUUUCGUGGUAGGGCUAGGAGGGGGCUGGAGUGCUCCACCUCGCGCGAUCCCCCUUCUUACCCCGCGUAGGGGCUCGUCGCAUGCGGGCCAUCGAGGAAGGGCCGGAUGGGUAGGAGGGGAUGGAUCGGGGAAGCUGAGUGCAUGCCACAAUUAG
rnacentral:rRNA from 1 species